rnacentral:lncRNA from 10 species
AUGGGCGCCUAGGGACCACCUUGAGCAGGACUCAGGAUGAUGCUCAUUUUACAGGAGUUUGGAUGCUUCAUCUCUGCUGAGACCCAGUGCCUGGCACUGAAGGUGCUCAGGAAAUACCUUCUGAAUGAUCGGAAGCCCCUGCCAUCUGCUAAACUGGAUCUAUGAUGACAGAAGCCGAGGAAUGUGAGGUUCAUCUAGAGAGUUCUUGUGAAUUUUCCAAGGGAGGCACCUGUUGAAUUCAGGCAUCGGCAUGUGACUUGAUUUGGUCAAUGAAAUGUGAGAGAAGUGACAUCCACUUUGAGGCAGGCACUUUCCGAAUGCCAUCAAGCUGAGAUGUGAAGCGGAAGUGAGGCAGAGGCUCCCUUCCUUUUGUUUGGCGCAGUUUUCUGUGAGAGAGCAGAGGUGGGAGAUGAGGGGACCUCUGCCCCAGUGUUUCUGCAUCCAAGCUCCAGCCUUGUUGAAGGUUGCCCCGACGGCCACUCUCCAUACUGCUGCCAGAAGAACCUUGAAAUAUCGCUCUUUUUAAUUAAAAAGCAAAACUCUUC